rnacentral:lncRNA from 1 species
AACUUUCUUUUGGCACGUCUUACGUGACUUUAUUAGAGAUUUUCCCAGGAAGCCAGAGCAUAUCACAGAGGAGCUAAUCAUUUCACCAGACUCUCAACAUCCAGCUCUGAACGAGGGCUGAAGAGGCAGCGUGGGAUGCGGAGGUGGAGACAGACUUUCUCCAAGCAGAAGCAGCUAAUGUCAUUCAUGCGAAGCCCUCGUGCUUGAUUACACAAACAUUCAGCCCUGCUGGGAAAAUGCGCCAAGACGAUGCAUGACCCAG